rnacentral:rRNA from 1 species
UACGUAGGGUGCGAGCGUUAAUCGGAAUUACUGGGCGUAAAGCGUGCGCAGGCGGUUUUGUAAGCCAGAUGUGAAAUCCCCGGGCUUAACCUGGGAAUGGCAUUUGGGACUGCAAGGCUGGAGUGUGGCAGAGGGAGACUGGAAUUCCUGGUGUAGCAGUGAAAUGCGUAGAUAUCAGGAGGAAUACCGAUGGCGAAGGCAGGUCUCUGGGCCACUACUGACGCUGAGAAGCGAAAGCAUGGGGAGCGAACAGG